ACCUGACUGCUAUCGGAUUGGUACUAAGCCAUGCGAGUCAUUGUAGCAAUACAAGGCGGACGGCUCAGUAACACGUAGUCAACCUAACUCGUGGACGUGGAUAACCUCGGGAAACUGAGAAUAAACCACGAUAGAUCAUAGUGCCUGGAAUGGCUUAUGGUCCAAACAGUUUACUGCCAUGGGAUGGGACUGCGGCCUAUCAGCUUGUUGGUGAGGUAAUGGCCCACCAAGGCGAUUACAGGUACGGGCUCUGAGAGGAGAAGCCCGGAAAUGGGUACUGAGACACGGACCCAGGCCCUAUGGGGCGCAGCAGGCGAGAAACCUUAGCAAUGUGCGAAAGCACGACUGGGUCAGUCCGAGUGAUUCCUGAUAAAGGAGUCUUUUGCCUGUCCUAAAAGCACAGGUGAAUAAGGGGUGGGCAAGUCUGGUGUCAGCCGCCGCGGUAAUACCAGCACCUCGAGUGGUCAGGACGUUUAUUGGGCCUAAAGCAUCCGUAGCCGGCUCUGCAAGUCUUCGGUUAAAUCCACCUGCUCAACAGAUGGGCCGCUGGAGAUACUACAGAGCUAGGGAGUGGGAGAGGCAGACGGUAUUCAGUGGGUAGGGGGAAAAUCCCUCUGAUCCAUUGAGGACCACCAGUGGCGAAGGCGGUCUGCCAGAACACGUUCGACGGUGAGGGAUGAAAGCUGGGGGAGCAAACCGGAUUAGAUACCCGGGUAGUCCCAGCUGUAAACGAUGCAAACUCGGUGAUGCAUUGGCUUAUGGCCAAUGCAGUGCCGCAAGGAAGCCGUUAAGUUUGCCGCCUGGGAAGUACGACGCAAGUCUGAAACUUAA
rnacentral:rRNA from 1 species